rnacentral:rRNA from 1 species
CGAGCGGCGGACGGCUGAGUAACACGUUAGUAGCUACCCCCUACUCAGGGAUAACCAUUGGAAACGAUGGCUAAUACCGGAUGGUCCCGAAAGGGUAAAGAUUUUUCGGUAGGGGAGGUGCUUGCGGCCUAUCAGCUUGUUGGUGAGGUAAUGGCUCACCAAGGCUAUGACGGGUAACUGGUCUGAGAGGAUGAUCAGUCAGAGGGAAACUGAGACACGGUUCCCACUCC